rnacentral:rRNA from 1 species
UACGUAGGGGGCGAGCGUUGUCCGGAGUUACUGGGCGUAAAGGGCGUGCAGGCGGUGCGGUAAGUUUAGCGUGACAGUCUCCGGCUUAACUGGAGAAGGCCGCUGAAAACUGCUGGACUUGAGGGCCAGAGAGGGACAUAGAAUUCCGGGUGGAGUGGUGAAAUGCGUAGAUAUCGUUUGGAACGCCAAUGGUGAAAACAGGUUGCUGGGAGUGUGCUGACGCUGAGACACGAAAGCCAGGGGAGCAAACGGG